rnacentral:rRNA from 1 species
UACGGGGGGGGCAAGCGUUGUUCGGAAUUACUGGGCGUAAAGGCUCGUAGGUGGCCAACUAAGUCAGACGUGAAAUCCCUCGGCUUAACCGGGGAACUGCAUCUGAUACUGGAUGGCUUGAGAUUGGGAGAGGGAUGCGGAAUUCCAGGUGUAGCGGUGAAAUGCGUAGAUAUCUGGAGGAACACCGGUGGCGAAGGCGGCAUCCUGGACCAACACUGACGCUGAGGAGCGAAAGCCAGGGGAGCAAACGGG